rnacentral:rRNA from 1 species
AGUGGCGAACGGGUGAGUAACACGUAGGUGACCUGCCCCGGAGAGGGGGACAACCAUUGGAAACGAUGGCUAAUACCCCAGAUGUCAAUCUAUUUGGAAAGGAUUGACUAAAGUUCCGGCGCUCCGGGAGGGGCCUGCGGCCCAUCGGCUAGUUGGUAGGGUAACGGCCUACCAAGGCGAAGACGGGUAGGGGGCGUGAGAGCGUGACCCCCCACACUGGUACUGAGACACGGACCAGAUACCUGCGGGUAGCAGCAGCAAGGAAUAUUGCCCAAUGGACGCAAGUCUGAGGCAGCAACACCGCGUGGAGGACGAAGGCUUUCGAGUUGUAAACUCCUUUUCUGGGGGAAGAGAAAGGACGGUACCCCAGGAAUAAGUCUCGGCUAACUACGUGCCAGCAGCCGCGGUAAAACGUAGGAGGCGAGCGU